rnacentral:lncRNA from 1 species
CACAGGGCGUGGAUGCUCCGGCAGCCUCGCGGAGCUUUUGGGGCGGUCUGAGCAGCUGGCGGGGCCUGGGCAGCGCUGCAGGAGCUGCGGUAGGAGACAGGAAGGGCGGUGGGAGCUUUGCAGGCCGCUGGUGCGAGGAGGGGCUGUGGGAAGCUCUGUGAUGGGCCGGAGAGAAGGGCUGGGGUACCAGGCUGAGGUGACCCAUGACAGUGCUCAACUCCUGCACCUCAGCCACUCCCCAGGGCCAGAGGAGGAGGAGGUGCGUGCAGGGGAGCUGCGUUCCCUCCAGGCAGCAGCUCCCUCUGCCCUGUGCACGAAGCCUCCAUGGACCGAUGGACCAGACGUGUGCUCAGCAUCUUCCCCCGCGUUGCUAAGAGACGGGAUCCCACGGGAUGCUGCCGGUGCUGAGCCCGGCACAUCGGCAGGAGAUCCCCUGGCCGAGGGGAGGAUGAUGUGGGAGAUGGCACAAAAGGCUGCAACAAGGCACCGUGGGAGAGAAAGCCCCACACUUGUCAGGGAAACCUCUGCAGUGGGGACAAAAGGGUCAAGGCCAGGAGGAGGAAGAGCUCAGCAUCAGCAGGAUGAGGAUAAUCUGGAGAGAGGUCUCUGGAGGGUUUCAGGUGGCCACCCUUCCUGUCAUGCAAUUUAAGAUUUUACAAACAUCGCCUGUUGUGAUGCUGGCAGCACGGAGGAGACCCCAGGAGAGAGCAGAAGGAAGCACAAAACAGGAGAGACCGACCAUGCUGCUCUGAAUCCUUUGGCAUUCCCUGGCUGAGAACCCCAUGCAAGUGCAAACAUCAAGUUUAAAGUCCUGGGCUCCCCUCUCAAAGCAAAUUAGGGGAUGGCUGCUCCAAGCAGGCAGCUCUCCCAGGCCUUUACAUCCCCACUGGGUUCCCCAAGCAGUCCUUGGUGAUGCUGCUGGUGGGGGGCAGGGGGUGCCACAGUCAGAGCUGAUUUCAGCCUGGAGCUGGGCAGGACUGUGGUGGUGGCUGGUGGAGGGAUGGAGCCCUGUCUGUCACCAAAACACAGGAGCCCUUCCUUAGUUUGUUGAACCUUCACCCCAAAUUUUGGUAUUUUUGGUAUUAUAGGUAAUUUAAAGCCAUGGACUCCUCUGGUGUCCUGCUAGAUGACAAAACCUUGUUUUGUUUGUAAUUCUCCCCCAGCUCGUUACCCUUCUGUGCCCCCACCCACACCAGGAUGUUUUCCUUUCCCUGGGAGCCCCUGUCCCUGUUGCCCUGGGAAGUGUUCAGCAUUUUGCAUUGCAGAGCUGCUGGAAACACAGAGUCUUUGUCCAGAGAUCACCUUGAACUGAGGCCCAGCUGGGUUAACACUUAUAUUCCAAAGUUGCUUCCAAUCAGGGGGAUCAUCUGAG